rnacentral:rRNA from 1 species
UGCAGUCGCACGAGAACGCUUCAGCUUGCUGAAGUUAGUAAAGUGGCGCACGGGUGAGUAACGCGUGGGUAAUCUACCCUCGAAUUGGGGAUAACAUCGCGAAAGUGAUGCUAAUACCGAAUGACAUUUUGAAAACAUAUGUUUUCAAGAUCAAAGGUGGCCUCUACAUGUAAGCUAUUGUUUGGGGAUGAGCCCGCGUACCAUUAGCUUGUUGGUAGGGUAAUGGCCUACCAAGGCUACGAUGGUUAGCUGGUCUGAGAGGAUGAUCAGCCACACUGGAACUGACACACGGUCCAGACUCCUACGGGAGGCAGCAGUGAGGAAUUUUGCGCAAUGGGGGAAACCCUGACGCAGCAACGCCGCGUGAGUGAAGAAGGCCUUCGGGUCGUAAAGCUCUGUCAAGUGGGAAAAAAGUCACAUAGUCAAUAGCUUUGUGAUUUGAUGGUACCACUAAAGGAAGCACCGGCUAACUCCGUGCCAGCAGCCGCGGUAAUACG